AAUCCAGUCCGAGCUGAAUAUCUGAUUGAGGUUGAGAUUAGCACAGCAGAUUUCUCAUUUGGGUAUCAACUUAAAUACGAUCUGGAGACAUCAAUUUUCCCCUUCAUAAAUUUCAUGAAAAUUAACAUGACUACAGUGUGUCAGCUAAUUGGCAUUGAAUACCAGUGUACAUGUCAAGAUCAGUAUUUCUGGUCACUUGAUAACUGUGCUAUGUAUGGCACCUGUAAUUACGCGAAUGAAAAUGCAUGUACCUGUAUCAAUGCACUUCCCAGUGAUGGACAGAUGUGUGUGCCAA